CAAUAGCGUAUAUUAAAGUUGUUGCAGUUAAAAAGCUCGUAGUUGGAUUUCUGGCAGGAGUGACCGGCCGCACACACUGUGUGCGAGUUGCGUCAUUCUGGCCAUCCUUGGUGAGAUCCUGUUUGGCAUUAAGUUGUCGGGCAGGGGAGUAACCAUCGUUUACUUUUGAAGAAAUUAGGAGUGUUUAAAGUCAGGCUUACGCCAGAACAUAUUAGCAUGGAAUAAUAAUUUAGGACUUUUGUUCUAUUUUGUUGGUUUCUAGGACGAAAGUAAAUGAUUGAUAGGGAUAGUUGGGGGUGGCUAGUAUUCGGCGGCCAGAGGUGAAAUUCUUUGAUCCGCUGAAGACUAACUUAUGCGAAAGCAUUCACCAAGGAUGUCUUCUUUAAUCAAGAACGAAAGUUGGGGGAGUCGAAGACGAUCAGAUAUCAU
rnacentral:rRNA from 1 species